GCAUAGAAAACAUAGCUGGACUCCAUCCCCUCGGCAACCAGUAUCUUCCGAAUGAAGUCAUAGCUGGUUGGUUUGGAGAAGAACCAGAGAAUGAUCAUCCUAUCCCCUUGAAUGAUCACCAUGAUGAAGACCUUUCGUAUGAUGCUAACUCCGAACCAGAGGUUGAGAACCUACCCCGAGCAGCUCCCUUUCCAAUUCCUAACCCUCGUCCGGCUUUUCAUGGCCCGACCCUGAGUGAGUGGAAUGCUUGGAAACAUGGAGCCAAGGACAAGAUCAGCCCAUGCCAUUUAAUGGCGACCGAAGCUUUUACGACUUGAGCAAUGGGGGCUCAGCAGAUAGAGUCUUGCCAAUCUUGGUCCGCAGAGUGGCCCGAAAUGAGAUUCAAGGCAGGACAGCCCUACAUCAGAUUACCGAAGUUGUCGCCGAUGCGAGAAUGCAUACCCUCCGCACCAUUCGUCUAGAAGAUGCUCGCGAGAGAUCAGAGAGAAACCAUGAAACCCUGCUGCAAGCACUGGCUGAACUGAGAGUUCACCUGAGGGAUGACUGUCGUCAGUAGUAGAUUAUUUACUUUAUUUUCCUUAUUAAAAGGAAUCAUUUUCUGUCUAUGCCCGAUGUGGCAUUUUCUAUGAAAUUAUCUUGUACUGUAAGUACUUUUGGUUAGGUCCUUAUGCUGUCAAGAAUUAUCUUCUCUGGAUAUGAUGUAAGACCUUUACAAGGUCAUUUUCCUGAAUCUUUACGUCGUGAAUAUCAAAGAUAUUGACAGCCGGCUAACUUCUGUGUCAUUCUUUAUUCAAGUACUCUUAGCAUACUCUCAUUGGAGUCUAUCUGAAACCUGCUUUAGUCAAGUCAUUGGACUAUAGCAAGUUAGGUCCGGAGACAUUUCCAAGUCUCUUUCAGUGGUUGGAUCUUGUUAUUCACCAACCCACGAUACCUCGGCUUGAACGACAAACGUCUUGAGACCAUUCUACAAACUUACUUCUACUCAUUACUAGGACUGCAUCAUAGUGAUGUAGGUCAAACCUUCGCGAUCAUACCUCCAAUCCGUACUAGGACUGCAUCAUAGGGAUGUAGGUCAACCUUUCGAGAACAUACUCUUACUCUUUGAUUGAGCAAUCGAAGUACAUCUAGGGUCAACCAGAAUCGCUCACAAAAUCCUUAUCUUUCGUGUUACAGAAUCAUGUCGUCAUCAGGAAGCAAUCAGUCGAACAACGAAACCUCCGCUUUUCCUAUGGACGCAGCUUUUUCAAGUCGUCGUUACAAAUUCCGUGAUGGCUGCCAUGACAGCUGUCCUCGCAAAUCGCAGCACUGUCAACGCAACCAAGACUGAAAAAGGAGUUGACAAUCCCAAUCGUGUUAACGAUCCGAGAGAUCAACAAACAGUAACAGUCACAGGCUCGCAAAGCCGAAAGGCAGAGAACAAGAAACGAAGGCGUCAAGCCCAGAAAGAACGCAAGAAAUCCCAAAAACUUGCCAUGUAACAACGGCAAGUGGAAACCUCUGCCAUCCCUGUACCGAGCAGACCAUAUAAAGGAAAACUCCCGAAGUGCGACCAGUGCAAAUACCACCACGAGGGAAUUUGCCGAGCCUGGCAAUGCAAUAAUUGCAAGAAGAUGGGGCAUGUUGCUCGUUUCUAUAGAACUACCUCCACCACUGGAGCAAGCCUAGUUUGCUAUAGUUGUGGUGAGGUAGGGCACUAUUACCAAAAUUGUCCAAAAGAGAAGGUCAACGAAAGCAACUGUGUCCCCAUGACUCCCACUCGACACUUCACUUCCACCGCCAAUGUUGGUGUUGUCCGGAUAUGUCACCAAUGCGGUGAAAUUGGACACUUCAAGAAAGAUUGCCCUAUAGCAAAGAACUCUGGCACAGAUGGGAGGAUUCUCAGGAUCACAGCUGCAGGAGAACCUACUUCGGAACCACGUUAAUGUAACAUAGGCAUGUUGUUGUAACAGACUUAUAAAUUAUCCAGAACUAGUGCAACUAGAGUGUUACCUUGUUGCAAGAUCCUAUCGGUAUAAGGAUGCUCGUGCUGCGUAUACUUGUCUUUUGUAGUAUACCUCAUUCGCAACAAUGGUCUUGUUGUAAGUCUAAAGUAUUGCAACUCUAUUGAUGGUUGCACGGUUGUGUUUUGUCGAUAAACGUCUUAUGUUCAAAUCUAAUGUCUUUAAAUUUCCAUAUGAUUCCGACAUUAUCAUACAAUUAGAUUCAAUUUGAUCCACACGAUACCAGCUUCAUUAGUACAUCUCUUUACCAGUAAAUGUUGUUUUAACGAAGCCGUCAUAUCAGAACACCGAAGUACUCAUGCAUGGAGUACCUCAUAGUUCUUUUCUUUCCGAAGAAAUCCCCGAAGCACCACUCGUGCAGUACGUCAAGUUCAAUCCAAGGAUUCAUACAAUUGACCUAUCAUUGAGGAAUGUAUACAUAAGAGUGAUAUAUAAUCAAGGUUCUACAUGUUUAGAAUUGAUGAUUCCACUUUAACUUCUUUUUCCUCGAUGGGAUGUGAGCUUAAAGAAGAAUCAGUUAUUCGACUACCUUUUCAAUCUUAAUUAUAUACGACUCGUAUACACGAGAUUGUGAUUGUGAAACCAUGUAUGAAUUCUAAUAUGAACUUCAGGACGGAGAACUGCCCAAGCCUACGAGUAAUCGCAUCGUCAUGUGAACAAACUUAGAACCCAGUAUGACUCCUGUAAACAGAUCGCCCUAUAGUCUAAACACCUACGGAGAUACCAGAACAGUACAAACAACUUAACGAACUGCACAGCGAUAGAAUAAGAAGACUAGGCUUCUCACCCUGGAGAACCCCCAGUCUUAUUCUCCCAGAGAUCGACGGAUUGCAUCGUAUGUGCCUCGGAUAUCGAGGACUCCGUCAAGAUUUUCAUUAGAAAUCGUUAUCUCUGCCUCGCAUAGAUGAAAUGGUUGAGCAAACGCAAGGAAAGAAUUACUUUCAGAAAUGGAUCUGAGAUCCGAAUAUCACCAGUUCGAGUGUUAGGGAAGGAUGUCCGGAAGACUAUCUUCCGAACUCGAUGCGGACACUUCGAGUCCGUAGUGAUACCCUUCGGAUAGGACCAAUACGCCCAUAGUUUUCAUGAGCUAAAUGAGUAGGGUACGUCUUUCUUACUUGGAUCAGUUCGUCAUUUCUCCAUGUAAUGACUUACUUAUCUACCCUCGUAGUAAGAAGAAAACCCAUGGAAACAUUUCCUACAGAGGAACUUUUAGCGAAGUUCUCUAGGCACGAGUUUUGAAAUUGAAGAGUCGAAUUUCUAUGACACACUGUUAGUAAUGUGGGAAAUUUUGAGUACUUUUUCAAUUUGUCAAAACCGUUGAGCAUUUGUCGACACCAGAGACGCCGACAGUCUUUCGCCAAAUUCUAGGUCUUACAGACCUACUGUCAUAGUUCAUCCAGAAACCCUCGCAAAUCACAGGAAACCAUACGACCUUGACCCAGCAAGGAGUGGCCCUUGACUGGGAAGUUAAGCAAGAGAAAGAACCUUUGGAGAUUCCAAGUGAGAGACCAAAUUCUUUAGGAAGUCUCACUCGGGAACGGCUUAAUACGCUUCGUAAAGCGUGGAAAGCUAAAUCCAAGAUAGACAGGACCUCCGAGAUUCUUACCAGAAUCAGUCCUGUAUCUCGCAAACUAGACCUACUCCGCGAACUCAGUAACGUACAUUAUACUCUUAGCGUCUCGAUCAUGAAACCAUACCUUUCCGUUAGGACUCUUGUAAGUCCACUCGUCGAGAUCCUCGCCUUCGUAUUAGAACCGUAGUGACCCUCGACCGAGAGGUCAAGCGGACGAAGCAACGCCGUCGCCCGUUAGUGAAGGUUCGUUGGGAUGCCAACCGAGAACCCGAUUUCACUUAGGUGCGCUAGAACCAAUCGAUUAGGAAGUUUCCUCCUCACGACUCGAUCAUUCGUACAUACUUCCUUGCCUAAAUUCUAAUUUCGGGACGAAAUUCCCUUUAACAGGGGGAUGAUGUGACAACCCGAAAUUUCCAUUCUGAACAAACCAUAUCAAUCCAAUAGAAGUUAGAACAGUUACAGUGAAAUUCCAGACUUCGAGUAUAAGUUUGGCAGUUUUUCAGGAUUUACACUUAAGGAGAUAUCAGGAGAGUGGAUGCACUAGGGUUUUGUGCAACACUGUUAUUCCAAUACUCUAGGAUAUUAGAGUUCAUUCCGGGAAUAAAAAUAUUUUCUGCCAAAAAUCCCAGGACUAUAUAUAGAAAACUGAACCAAAUAGUUCAUUAGUUACAUUUCCAAUUAGAGAAAAGCCAAAAUUCUCUCUCACGGAUCUUCGGGUUUUUAUCCCAAAUUGUGAGUACUUCGAUCUAGUUAUGUUAUAUAGCUUAGAUUGUGUUUAGAAACAUCAAUUUCAUAACAAAACAACUAGAUUCGGGAGUUUACCGCCCAAGAACGUUCUUGGAGAGUAAACUCCAAUAUGUGGCUUAAAUGCUACCUAGUCCUUUCCCCGUGAUUUGUAACUACCUUAGACUUGUAUGCUAGUGUGUAUAUGACUAGAAAACAUCAAAAUCGGAACAAGACACCAAGAUUUGGGAGUUUACCGCCCAAGAACACUUGGGGAGUAAACUCCAUUUUAAGGGCCAAAAGUGUCCCAAUGACCCUCAAAGCUUUAGAACUCGAACUAGAACCCACCAUUGCAUGUUUAGGACACCAAAAGCAAUUAAAAUCAAUGAUGAAAGUGAGUUCACGGCCAAGGAGGUUCUUGGGCCGUGAACUCCAUGUUUAGGUGUCAAAAUGCCUUGAAACACUUCCUAAGGCUUAGGCUUGAAUUAGGACAAGUACCCUAGUGUGUUUGGAGCAAGCAAACACCAUUAAAACACCAAGAAAAAGGUGUUCACGGCCCAAGAUGUUCCAGGGCCGUGAACUCCAUUAAAUGGUGCCAAAUGGUGCCAUAAAUCCCCCUAAAGCCUUGGACAAUUGCCUUGAUUCAUUCCUUGUUAAAUUAGGGACUUGAAAACACCAUAAACCUUCCCCCAAAGGAGUUUACGGCCGUAAUCUCCAUGGGAUAUGGUCCCAGGGCCGUAAACCCCUAUAAAGGGGGCAAAUGUCACCCAAACACUUGAUUUAGCCUUGAAACAAUUCACCACUAGAGUUGUAUUAAUUCUAAGCUUCAUUUAGAGACCUUAUUGAGAGUUUACGGCCAGGAGUUUACUCCCCUGGGCCGUAAACUCCAAAACAUAUGGUCAUUUGACCAUAAACUCCCAUUAGAGGUCUUGCACUCCUUUGUUGCAACCCAUUAGCCUCCUAGCACUUGACCAAAAGUGUUUUCCUCACGUUAAAAUGUUUAUACUUGUAUAAUUAGUGUUUUAAUCACUAAUUAUUUAUAUACAUAUGUCUUCAUAUGUAAUUAGGAUCAUUGUGUGUGUCUAAAGUCUUCACUUGACACCAAGCACUUGUCCGAUCCUUCCUUACGAUAACAGUCCGUUCAAUUCCAGUCACUUACUGCAGGUGAGUUCAUACCCCUUAAUUAAUGUUUUAAACUGCUUUUAAAUGUUUUAUGGGGGGGGACAAGUAGAAUCAUGCUAGUUAUUAUAUCAAUCACAUGUGAUUAAUAAGUAGAAUUAUGCUAGUUAUUAUAUCAAUCACAUGUGAUUAAUAUGCAGCAUUCAAAUGAUUUACUACACAUUAACCGUUUUACCAAACAGGUUCUUCAAAUGAUUUUCUUAAAUGUUUUAUAUGUUUAAAAAUUCUUAUUAAACUGUUCAUUACACACUGUAUGAUCCUUUUCAAACCAUUUUACUCCGAUCCGUUUUACUCCAAGCUAUUACCAAAUCGUUUUACUUCAAACUGUUUUCACUUCAAACUGUUUUAUCGAUUGACAUCAAGUCGAUCUUUUCUUAGAUAAUAAUUAUGUUCUAAGAUUUUACAAAACUUAUUUUAUGCUUUUAUAUUAUAAAUUGCAUGCCUCUAUAUGUAUAGUUAUAUAAGUAAUGUUUAAAAGACUUAGGAAGGCUAUCCACCUUGUUUCCUUUUCCUCGAUUUAGAUGUGGCCUGAUAGGAUAUCGGGUACUCGUCCGAAGGUCGUUUAAAUAUUAGUUAUAUAUCAUGUGUACAUAUAUAGUCAUAAAAGGUCCUUCCAGUUCAUCCAAUGCCCUUGGGUAGCAAGGGUAUACAUCCAUGUUCAUACGUACCAGUUAGAUUACUAGUAAACUACCAUAUGGGUAGUUUAGGAAGAUACUAGAACUAUUACUAGAACGCGAUAUCAUACAAUGAGUCAGUUCAUUCAUGAGUCAAUACUUUCUAGAUAGAGAGAACAUACAUUACAGCUAGAACAUUACAGUACAUUACUAUACUUGCUAGAUAGAGAGCACAUACAUUACAGCUAGAACAUUACAGUACAUUACUAUACUUGCUAGGUAGAGAGCACGUACAUUACAGCUAGAACAUUACAGUACAUUACUAUACUUGCUAGGUAGAGAGCACGUACAUUACAGCUAGAACAGUUCAUUACAUUACAUAUACAUGAAUACGUUAAUUAUUGUGAUAUGAAUCGGAGCAUGACUUAAAUGUCAUGGCCCGUGUUGUAGCCAGAGUCUCUUGAAGGGAGAGCGUGAGUUUGCGUAUAGAUCUAUACUGGAUUGACUAUCCUACACCUUGCUGCUAGCUACAGCCGGACCUGCAGGUCUGCGGGUGCCAAACGUCAUUUCUUUUUAUGACCAUACUUAUGUCGUUGUUACCAGUCAAUAGUAUGGUGCAAUUAAUCACAUGAUGCCUUAAUAUAAAUCCGGUUUAAGGUAGUUAGUACAGCAGUAGUUCUUAUAACGCUACAUUUUAGUACUACAUUAAUUUUCCCUGUACAUAUAUUUAGUGAUCUUUUCACUUAAACUAUAAAUGUAAAAACUAUAUUUUGUUAAUAAUAGUUACACUUGGGAAAAUUACACACUUUUACAUGAAACGAACAUUUAGAACAGUUAAGUCUUGGUAGAAGACUACAUUGAGAACAGUUAGGUCUUGGUAGAAGACACCCUUAUAUAAUAGUAGGAAUCAUAGGGAUUUCUAGGGUUUUUCAAACGUUUACAGUUGUUUUACAAACAUUUUUACACUUACAGUUCAUAUACAUUUUCAAUACUUACAAUUCAUAUACAUUUUCCAUACUUACAGUUCAUAACCUUACAAAUUCUUACAUACAAAUUAAGACACUAAAAUACUUAUGAUCUCACCAGCUUCAAAGCUGAUACUCGCUUUCAAAAUUACUUGUAUCCUCAGGUCAUCAUAGACAGGUACCGAUGCAAGGAGAAAGGAAGAUGGAGCUUGUUCAAGACUCAUCUUUCAUUUUGAUUUAUGCUUUAGUGUUUAUCAAAAUUUGACAGAACACAUUUGUAUAAUAAUUAUAUUAUUAAUGCAAUGGAUGAUGUUGUUGCUUGUUUACUACUUUACAUUGUUGUGAUACUGUACAUGACGUCCUCCGCCCCAGAACGUUUCCGCCGUUCUUGGUUUUGGGGUGUGACAGAUUGGUAUCAGAGCAUUGUUUAUAGUGAAUUAAGUAUAUCAACCCAUAAAAGAUAUACUAACUAUAAAUACAUAAGGGAUUAAAAAUACUCUGACCAAGAGUUUAUACUUUAAAUAAUAAAAUAUUUAAGUAAGUAUACGUGCCUCAUUCAUACUAAAAUCAGUGUCACUAGGACAGUACAAAAGAAUUACGAUUGUUGGGCAACACAAGUGGGCUUAGAGACAUAUGGUCAAAACUGGGAAGAUAUAGCCUGAUCACCUAUAUUAUCCGAGGGUUGACUAGCAUGUGCCUAAGUUUAAUUGUGUGGUUGCAACAAUGCUAAAAUCUUACCAACCCUACCACAAUGAGAACAAUAGAACAUAACAUUAAAAUUAAAAUACUAUAGGAGUAUUUGGUGUUACUAUAAGUACUUUAUACUUGAGAACUAAAACGGGAUCUUCAUUACUAAGUUGAUAGUUGCUAAGUGGAUACACUAAGGCUAUAUGUAAUUAGGAUGUUAUAGACUUAGAAUCUGUGGAAAUUUUACUUCACCCCUAUUCUGUGUGAAUACGGAGUUAAGGUCACUUAUUCGAAGGUCUAUCCUGUUUAGAUUACAUAUAACUGGUAUGCACUUCACAAAUAGCGAUGUAACUGAUGAAGAUUUUCUAAAUAAUUAUCUAGAUAGUUCGUCUAAUAAUUAUUUCUUUACCCCCAAAUUCUCGCAUAGAUAACAUAGCUGUACUCCAUCCCUACGUCAACCAGUACCUUCCGAAUGAGGUCAUUGUUGGAUGGUUUGAAGAAGAACCAGAGAAUGAUCAUCCUAUCCCUUUGAAUGAUCACCAUGAUGAAAACCUUUCGGACGAUGCUAAUUCAAAACCAGAGGUUGAGAACCUACCCCAGGCAGCUCCCGUUCCAAUUCCUAACCCUCGUUCGGCUUUUCAUGGCCCGACCUUGAGUGAGUGGAAUGUUUGGAGACAUGGAGCCAAGGACAAGAUCAGCCUAUGCCAUUUAAUGGCGACCGAAGCUUUUACGACUUGAGCAAUGGGGGCUCAGCAGAUAGAGUCUUGCCAAUCUUGGUCCGCAGAGUGGCCUGAAAUGAGAUUCAAGGCAGGACAGCCUUACAUCAGAUUACCGAAGUUGUCGCCGAUGCGAGAAUGCAUACCCUCCGCACCAUUCGUCUAGAAGAUGCUCACGAGAGAUCAGAGAGAAACCAUGAAACCCUGCUGCAAGCACUGGCUGAAUCACGAGCCGAAGUCAUAGAGCUCCGAGUACGCCAGAGGGUGUACGAAAGACACCUACUUGACGUGGAACAUCAACUGGCUGAACUGAGAGUUCACCAGAGGG
rnacentral:lncRNA from 1 species